UACGUAGGGUGCGAGCGUUGUCCGGAAUUAUUGGGCGUAAAGGGCUCGUAGGCGGUUUGUCGCGUCGGGAGUGAAAACCUUGGGCUUAACUCAGGGCUUGCUUUCGAUACGGGCAGACUAGUGGUAUGCAGGGGAGAACGGAAUUCCUGGUGUAGCGGUGAAAUGCGCAGAUAUCAGGAGGAACACCGGUGGCGAAGGCGGUUCUCUGGGCAUGAUCUGACGCUGAGGCGCGAAAGCUAGGGGAGCAAACGGG
rnacentral:rRNA from 1 species